rnacentral:rRNA from 1 species
AGUGAACGCUGGCGGUAGGCCUAACACAUGCAAGUCGAACGGCAGCACAGUAAGAGCUUGCUCUUACGGGUGGCGAGUGGCGGACGGGUGAGGAAUACAUCGGAAUCUACUUUUUCGUGGGGGAUAAUGUAGGGAAACUUACGCUAAUACCGCAUACGACCUACGGGUGAAAGCAGGGGAUCUUCGGACCUUGCGCGAUUGAAUGAGCCGAUGUCGGAUUAGCUAGUUGGCGGGGUAAAGGCCCACCAAGGCGACGAUCCGUAGCUGGUCUGAGAGGAUGAUCAGCCACACUGGAACUGAGACACGGUCCAGACUCCUACGGGAGGCAGCAGUGGGGAAUAUUGGACAAUGGGCGCAAGCCUGAUCCAGCCAUACCGCGUGGGUGAAGAAGGCCUUCGGGUUGUAAAGCCCUUUUGUUGGGAAAGAAAAGCAGCAGGUUAAUACCCCGCUGUUCUGACGGUACCCAAAGAAUAAGCACCGGCUAACUCCGUG